rnacentral:miRNA from 1 species
UGGAGUCAACGGUGGGACGGAGA